rnacentral:rRNA from 1 species
UGGGGAAUUUUGGACAAUGGGCGCAAGCCUGAUCCAGCCAUGCCGCGUGAGUGAAGAAGGCCUUCGGGUUGUAAAGCUCUUUCGGACGGGAAGAAAUGGCGGGCUCUAACAUAGCCUGUCGAUGACGGUACCGUAAGAAGAAGCACCGGCUAACUACGUGCCAGCAGCCGCGGUAAUACGUAGGGUGCGAGCGUUAAUCGGAAUUACUGGGCGUAAAGCGUGCGUAGGCGGUCUGUUAAGUCUGCUGUGAAAUCCCCGGGCUCAACCUUGUAAUGGCAGUGGAAACUGGCGGGGUAGAGUACGGUAGAGGAUGGUGUAAUCACCGGUGUAGCGGUGAAAUGCGUAGAGAUCGGGAGUAACACCAGUGGCGAAGGCGGCCAUCUGAACCAGUACUGACGCUGAGGCACGAAAUCGUGGGGAGCAAACA